AUUUAUUUUGCAGAGAAACCAUUUUUGUGGGUUCCGAGUUCUGAAACGAUUUUGCUGCGAAAAGAAAAGCGGGUUCUUCGUUUCAAUUUAUCUCCUCUCGGCAUGGAAAAAGGGGAAGAAGACUCAUCUUUGCAAACACCAUCUCUUUCAAAUUCCCCAACCGCGGAUAUACCAUCAAGUACACGGUACUUUGUAGAUUACACUAGUGCUGGUUACUACGGACCACUUCCUGGCUGGCCAA